rnacentral:tRNA from 1 species
GUCCCUGGGCGGCACAAGCUGUUUGCAUUUGGCUACUAACCUAAAGGCUGGUGGUUCAAACCCACCCAGUGACG